ACUGUGGUAUUCGGACAAGGAACCAAGCUGAUUGUCACAGGCUCCAGCCUCCCUCCUCCUGUCCUGACGGUCUUCCCUCCAUCCAGUGCUGAACUCCAAUCCAACAAAGCCACUCUGCUCUGUCUGUCCAGUUUGUCCAGUGAAACUAAAGGUUUUGCAGAUGUGAGCUGGUUGGUUGGUGGGAGUCCAGUCAGCAGUGGGAUCUCUACCAGCACCGCUGUUCAGAGACCAGACCAGACUUUCCACAUCAGCAGUUCUUUGUCCAUCCAGACAUCAGACUGGAACCUGGAUAAGGUUUACACCUGUAAAGUGUCCCUGGGCUCCCAGACUGCAGAGAAAACCAUCAGCAAGUCAGGAUGUCAUGCUAAGGAAUAGCUGAGGAACAAAAUCAUCAUCAAUCAUCUGCUUCAGUGUUGCUGGUUCAGUUCUGCAAAUUGGACUUACUAGAAUAUGCUUGCAAUCAAUAAAGUGUAGUUAUUCUUUUGAUGUUUUAAAAAGCUUUGUGGUUGGUACAUGUGCAUUUUACAAAACAAAAAUAAAAA